GCCCCUAUAGUCUAGUGGUUAGGACGUCGGAUUCUGAUUCCGAAAACAUUGAUUCAAUUCCAGUCAGGAGCU
rnacentral:tRNA from 1 species